CCUACGGUGGGCUGCAGUGGGGAAUAUUGGACAAUGGGCGAAAGCCUGAUCCAGCCAUGCCGCGUGUGUGAAGAAGGCCUUCGGGUUGUAAAGCACUUUCAGUGGGGAAGAAAGCCUUGGGGCUAAUACCAUCGAGGAAGGACAUCACCCACAGAAGAAGCACCGGCUAACUCCGUGCCAGCAACCGCGGUAAAUACGGAGGGUGCGAGCGUUAAUCGGAAUUACUGGGCGUAAAGCGCGCGUAGGCGGUCUGAUAAGCCGGUUGUGAAAGCCCCGGGCUCAACCUGGGAACGGCAUCCGGAACGGUCAGGCUAGAGUGCAGGAGAGGAAGGUAGAAUUCCCGGGGUAGCGGUGAAAUGCGUAGAGAUCGGGAGGAAUACCAGUGGCGAAGGCGGCCUUCUGGACUGACACUGACGCUGAGGUGCGAAAGCGUGGGUAGCAAACAGGAUUAGAUACCCCGGUAGUC
rnacentral:rRNA from 1 species